AUUGAACGCUGGCGGCAGGCCUAACACAUGCAAGUCGAGCGGGGUUUUCGGACCUAGCGGCGGACGGGUGAGUAAUGCGUAGGAAGCUACCCGAUAGAGGGGGAUACCAGUUGGAAACGACUGUUAAUACCGCAUAAUGUCUACGGACCAAAGUGUGGGACCUUCGGGCCACAUGCUAUCGGAUGCGCCUACGUGGGAUUAGCUAGUUGGUGGGGUAAUGGCUCACCAAGGCGACGAUCCCUAGCUGGUUUGAGAGGAUGAUCAGCCACACUGGAACUGAGACACGGUCCAGACUCCUACGGGGGGCAGCAGUGGGGAAUAUUGGACAAUGGGCGCAAGCCUGAUCCAGCCAUGCCGCGUGUGUGAAGAAGGCCUUCGGGUUGUAAAGCACUUUCAGUAGGGAGGAAGGGUUAAGUGUUAAUAGUACUUAACUUUGACGUUACCUACAGAAGAAGCACCGGCUAACUCUGUGCCAGCCGCCGCGGUAAGAC
rnacentral:rRNA from 1 species